GAAAUGCGAUAAGUAAUGUGAAUUGCAGAAUUCAGUGAAUCAUCGAAUCUUUGAACGCACAUUUCGCCCGCCAGUAUUCUGGCGGGCAUGCCUGUCCGAGCGUCAUUUCAACCAUCAAGCCCCCGGGCUUGUGUUGGGGACCUGCGGCUGCCCGCAGGCCCUGAAAACCAGUGGCGGGCUCGCUGUCACACCGAGCGUAGUAGCAAUCACCUCGCUCAGGGCGUGCUGCGGGUUCCGGCCGUUAAACAGCCUUACAAAACCCAAGGUUGACCUCGGAUCAGGUAGGAAGACCCGCUGAACUUAAGC
rnacentral:misc_RNA from 1 species